UUGUUGAUGUAGGGAGGAGGAAGAAUCGUCGAUGCACCGACGAGGCAGCAAAUCAGCAAGGAGUCACCGUUGAAUAAUAGGGAUCUCGGUGGCAGUGUUUGGGCCGCUACCGAGGGAGAUGAUGACAUCGCCGGUAAUUGCCUAGUCACGGUGGUGGUGUUUUAGCGAUGGUGGUUGGUGGUGGGCAGGCGGGUCGAGGCUAGAGUUUCCUCCCUGGUCUCCCGGUGCAAAGUACAUACGAGUGGAGGAGUCUUUGCAGGGAAAGGAUGAAGGACUGAUCAGAUCAGAUUACCGGAGAGGGAAACGAUCUACUGCAGAUUGCCGGAGGAUUGUUCAGAUCAACAAGGUGGAUGAUUGAUCAGAUUACCAAUGGAGAGGGUAACGAUCACAGAGGCGACAGAUCAGAUCAGCAUCGUCGGAGGACUAACCAGAUCUAUUGCGCAGGUCAUGAAGGGGAGAUCGUAGCGAUCGGGGAGGGCUCCGGCUCCUGCUCCUGCUUCGGCUCCGGAAGUGGGUCGCGGGGAGAGUCCAAGAGCAACGAUCGGGAGCAGCGAUCGUCUCCUGCUUCGAGGAGGGUCUGAGAGCAGCCCCCUGCUGCGACUUUGGGAGCGCGUCGAAGGAGGCAUCCGAGGAGGAAAGGCAAUAGUGGGAAAAGGGGAACGCUUCCGACUACUUGGACGGUUAUUGUGGAACGGCUCCCAACGGCUUCUGUGGAACAGAACAGAGGAGGCUGAAACAAU
rnacentral:lncRNA from 1 species